UACGAAGGGGGCUAGCGUUGCUCGGAAUCACUGGGCGUAAAGCGCACGUAGGCGGACUCUUAAGUCGGUGGUGAAAUCCUGGAGCUCAACUCCAGAACUGCCUUCGAUACUGAGAGUCUCGAGUCCGGAAGAGGAGAAUGGAAUUCCCGGUGUAGCGGUGAAAUGCGCAGAUAUCGGGAAGAACACCCGUGGCGAAGGCGGUUCUCUGGGACGGUACUGACGCUGAGACGCGAAAGCGUGGGGAGCGAACAGG
rnacentral:rRNA from 1 species